ensembl:lncRNA novel transcript, antisense to SLC38A11 and SCN3A
CAGUGGGGUGAGGAACCCUGCCUUAAUCUGCUUCUCAGUCAUCUGUGGACCACACCUACACCAGCGCUUCCUUCUGCGCAUCCUAUGGCACCUGUCUACUUCCUGUUUUGGGAAUCCCCACAGAGGCUAGCACAGUGCUGAACUUGUAAAAAGUACGCAAUAAAUGAUCCUCUUCCUGAACGACAUUGGAUGAUAAUAAAAUCUCUUGUGAGAGAGAGGCAAAGUUGGACAUCCCAAAGAUGGCAUAGAUAAACAUGACCAGGAAGAGCAGGAGGCCGAUGUUAAACAACGCAGGAAGGGACAUCAUCAAAGCAAAGAGCAGCGUGCGGAUCCCCUUUGCUCCUUUGAUCAGACGUAGGAUUCGGCCAAUCCUGGCAAGACGGAUCACUCGGAACAAGCACGCGGAACACAAUCAGGAAGGAGUGGAAGAAGUCGUUCAUGUGCCACCGUGGGAGCGUACAGUCAUCAUUGAUCUUGCAGACACAUUCUUUGUAGCUCUUACCAAAGAGCUGCAUGCCGACCACAGCAAAAAUGAAGACGAUGAUGGCCAACACCAAGGUGAGGUUUCCUAGAGCCCCCACAGAAUUGCCAAUGAUCUUAAUUAGCAUAUUUAGUGUGGGCCAGGAUUUUGCCAACUUGAAAACUCUAAGCUGUAAUCAAGUGAAAAGAUGCUGUUAGUAGUAAUCAUAAUAUAAUUUUAGACAUUAUUUUAUUAGUAUGUGGUAUCAUAGAACCACACGUGGUAGAUGUAAAAACUCAAAAUAUACUGAACUGAUUCAA